CGCUGGCGUGUCUCAAUAAAUCAGGCUGAGCAGCCACUCUUAAUGCACUCACCAAACUAUCGAUAAGGAAAAGGAGAGGCAAACACUGCCUUUCUCAGGAGUGAUGUCACUGAUAACCUGGCGGGCAAACACUCUUCCUGACUGACCGGGUCUCGGUCAAUCAAUAGCAGCACAAUGCCUCGCUUGGCAAAUGCACAGGUGAGCAGAAUGUCUAAUAAUCUGCGAGAGACGGACUAUGCCCAACUUUCAAAAGGAGACAGAAGUGGCUGUGAUGUCCUGUCCACCAAAACCUAAAGCAGUGCACUCAGACAUCACACCAUCCUAGUGUCUUGUAUGCAUUGAAAAGGCAUUUGAGUUGUCUGGAUGAAGCCUUUUAUGUCAAAACCUUUUAUAUUUUGCCAUUUCCCACCAAGGAGUGGAGCAGAGUGAAAUCUGAGCACAACUGGGUCCAUGAAUUGUUCAUUUGUUUCUUGUGAACUCCCUGAGCCCUGGACAAAGUUUAGAACUAGUUGGUACAAAAAAGGUUAGAGGUUCCUCAGGCAGUCACUAAUCGAAUCUGUCCAUAGAGGCCAAUUACGGGACAAAAAAAUCACGGGCAACAUGUCUUGGGCCUUUCAUCAGAGACUGACGGUUUACAAAAAAAAACUAAAAAAAAAAAAAAAAACUACAUCCACAGUCCUUCAUCCUAUUUUAAACUAAGCUCUAUUUCCACACGGCUGCCAUGUGUAUUUCUCAUACCCAGGACAAAAUUAUCCCUCAGCAUUUUAUCUGCCACACAAGGAAACCAUGUCUGAAUAAUCCAAUAAAAAUAAAGAAAAAAGAAAUCCAUCCCUCCACGAGGGUGUCCUGCCGUUACCUGAACGCCAAAUACCAUACUUGCCUUGUGGCAAAGUCACUGAUUAGCCUUUGUAAUGUAAGUCCAAUCAUCAUGAAGUCUCUCCUGGCACACAUUUGUCCUCUCUCAGUCUUCACUCAAGUACAUGCUCAUGAACUCCACUGAACCAGAAAUAAUGUUCACAAAUGCUGUACCGAGUUCCCUGAGAUGCAAACAACUUCAUGAAACUGGCUUUCGAUUCACUUCUGGGUUAUUU
ensembl:lncRNA